GAGUUUGAUCCUGGCUCACAAUCCACACAGGCGGCGUGCCUCAGACAUGCAAGUCCAACGAUUAAAGCUCCCUUCGGGGAGUGCAUAAAGUGGCGCACGGGUGAGUAACACGUAAGUAAUCUACCCUCGAGUGGGGAAUAACAUCGGGAAACCGAUGCUAAUACCGCAUAAUGCAGCGGCACCGCAAGGUGACAGUUGUUAAAGGAGCAAUUCGCUUGAGGAGGAGCUUGCGGCAGAUUAGCUAGUUGGUAAGGUAAUGGCUUACCAAGGCUACGAUCUGUAUCCGGUCUAAGAGGACGGUCGGACACCCUGACCUGAAUAACGGGUCAGACUCCUACGGGAGGCAGCAGUCGGGAAUUUUGGGCAAUGGGCGAAAGCCUGACCCAGCAACGCCGCGUGAAGGAUGAAGUAUUUCGGUAUGUAAACUUCAAAAGAAUGGGAAGAAUAAAUGACGGUACCUUUUAUAAGCUCCGGCUAACUACGUGCCACCAGCCGCGGUUUUACCUCAGGGAGCAAGUGUUGUUCGGAUUUACUGGGCAUAAAGGGCGCGUAAGCGGCGCGGUUAAGUCACUUGUGAAAUCCUCUGAGCUUAACCUCACAACGGGCCAAAUUGAAACUUGCAAGUGCCUAAAGUGG
rnacentral:rRNA from 1 species